UACGAAGGGUGCAAACGUUGCUCGGAAUUCUUGGGCGUAAAGAGCGCGCAGGCGGCUGGGCAAGUCCGAUGUGAAAGCUUCCGGCUUAACUGGAAAAUUGCAUCGGAAACUGCUCGGCUUGAAGGUGGGAGAGGGUAGCGGAAUUCCCGGUGUAGUGGUGAAAUGCGUAGAUAUCGGGAGGAACACCAGUGGCGAAGGCGGCUACCUGGCCCAUUCUUGACGCUGAGGCGCGAAAGCUAGGGGAGCAAACGGG
rnacentral:rRNA from 1 species